rnacentral:SRP_RNA from 1 species
GCCGGGUGUGGUGGUGCACACCUGUAAUCUCAGCUACUCAGGAGGCUGAGGCAGGAGAAUUGCUUGAACCCAGGAGGUGGAGGUUGCAGUGAGUUGAGAUCAAGCCACUACACUCCAGCCUGGGCGACAGAGUAAGACUCUGCCUCAA